AAACUUUCUCAAAAUGUUCUGAUUUCUUGCUCAAUCUCAUCUGUUGUUGGACGCUGAGCAUGAUGAGGCAUGGUUAGUACUUGGAUGGGAGACCACCUGGAAUACCAAUGCUGUAGGCUUA
rnacentral:rRNA from 1 species